GGAAUCUUCCACAAUGGACGCAAGUCUGAUGGAGCAACGCCGCGUGAGUGAAGAAGGUCUUCGGAUCGUGAAACUCUGUUGUUAGAGAAGAACACGAGUGAGAGUAACUGUUCAUUCGAUGACGGUAUCUAACCAGCAAGUCACGGCUAACUACGUGCCUG
rnacentral:rRNA from 1 species